rnacentral:rRNA from 1 species
CUACGGGGUGCAGCAGUUUGGAAUAUUGGACAAUGGGCGAAAGCCUGAUCCAGCGACGCCGCGUGGACGAUGAAGGCCUUCGGGUUGUAAAGUCCUUUUGCUAGGGAACAAUAUUUUGAGCGUACCUAGAGAAUAAGAGGUUGCUAACUCUGUGCCAGCAGCAGCGGUAAUACAAGAGACCUCAAGCGUUAUCCGGAAUUAUUGGGCGUAAAGCGUACCGAUCGGUGGUUUUGUAAGUCAGAAGUGAAAUCUUCAGGCUCAACCUGGAGACUGUCUUUUGAAACUACAAAGCUAGAGGGACAAAGAGGAAGCCGGAACGAACGGUGUAGUAGUGAAAUGCGUUGAUAUCGUUCGGAACACCAAUAGCGAAGGCAGGCUUCUGGGUGUCUCCUGACACUGCUAGGACGAGAGCGUGGGUAGCGAAUGGGAUUAGAUACCCUGGUAGUC